UGUAGUCUGCAACUCGACUACAUGAAGCCGGAAUCGCUAGUAAUCGCGGAUCAGAAUGCCGCGGUGAAUACGUUCCCGGGUCUUGUACACACCGCCCGUCACACCAUGGGAGCCGGAAAUGCCCGAAGUCAGUGACCCAACCGCGAGGAGGGAGCUGCCGAAGGCAGGUCUGGUAACUGGGGUGAAGUCGUAACAAGGUAAC
rnacentral:rRNA from 1 species